GUCUUCGUGGUGUAAUUGGAAGUAUAUUUGAUUCGCAAUCAAGGGGUCCACGGUUCGACUCCCAGCGAGGACA
rnacentral:tRNA from 1 species